rnacentral:rRNA from 1 species
CCCUUAGAUGUCCGGGGCCGCACGCGCGCUACAAUGGAUGAAUCAACGCGUCAUCCUGGCCCGAAAGGGUUGGGGAACCGCUGAACCUCAUCCGUGGUUGGGAUUGGGGUUUGUAAUUAUUCCCCAUGAACUAGGAAUUCCCAGUAAGCGCGAGUCAUAAGCUCGCGUUGAUUACGUCCCUGCCCUUUGUACACACCGCCCGUCGCUACUACCGAUUGGAUGGUUUAGUGAGAUCCUCGGAUUGGUCACGGCACGGUGGCAACACUGCGUCGGUGUGCCGAGAAGACGAUCAAACUUGAUCAUCUAGAGGAAGUAAAAGCCGUAACA